AACGAACGCUGGCGGCAGGCUUAACACAUGCAAGUCCAACGCAUCCUUCGGGGUGAGUGGCAGACGGGUGAGUAACGCGUGGGAACGUGCCCUUCAGUUCGGGAUAACCCAGGGAAACUUGGGCUAAUACCGGAUACGUGCGAGAGCAGAAAGAUUUAUCGCUGAAGGAUCGGCCCGCGUCUGAUUAGCUAGUUGGUGGGGUAAUGGCCCACCAAGGCGACGAUCAGUAGCUGGCCUGAGAGGAUGAUCAGCCACAUUGGGACUGAGACACGGCCCAAACUCCUACGGGAGGCAGCAGUGGGGAAUAUUGGACAAUGGGCGCAAGCCUGAUCCAGCCAUGCCGCGUGAGUGAUGAAGGCCUUAGGGUUGUAAAGCUCUUUCGUCCGGGACGAUAACGACGGUACCGGAAGAAGAAGCCCCGGCUAACUUCGUGCCAGCCGCCGCCGUAA
rnacentral:rRNA from 1 species